AACGGUAACAGGAAUCAGCUUGCUGAUUCGCUGACGAGUGGCGGACGGGUGAGUAAUGUCUGGGAAACUGCCUGAUGGAGGGGGAUAACUACUGGAAACGGUAGCUAAUACCGCAUAACGUCGCAAGACCAAAGAGGGGGACCUUCGGGCCUCUUGCCAUCGGAUGUGCCCAGAUGGGAUUAGCUAGUAGGUGGGGUAACGGCUCACCUAGGCGACGACCCCUAGCUGGUCUGAGAGGAUGACCAGCCACACUGGAACUGAGACACGGUCCAGACUCCUACGGGAGGCAGCAGUGGGGAAUAUUGCACAAUGGGCGCAAGCCUGAUGCAGCCAUGCCGCGUGUAUGAAGAAGGCCUUCGGGUUGUAAAGUACUUUCAGCGGGGAGGAAGGGAGUAAAGUUAAUACCUUUGCUCAUUGACGUUACCCGCAGAAGAAGCACCGGCUAACUCCGUGCCAGCAGCCGCGGUAAUACGGAGGGUGCAGGCGUUAAUCGGAAUUACUGGGCGUAAAGCGCACGCAGGCGGUUUGUUAAGUCAGAUGUGAAAUCCCCGGGCUCAACCUGGGAACUGCAUCUGAUACUGGCAAGCUUGAGUCUCGUAGAGGGGGGUAGAAUUCCAGGUGUAGCGGUGAAAUGCGUAGAGAUCUGGAGGAAUACCGGUGGCGAAGGCGGCCCCCUGGACGAAGACUGAC
rnacentral:rRNA from 1 species